GUUUAAUAUAACUUCAUUAUUAAACUCAUCCUAAUAUGGGCAGUAAAGCCCAUAUAACUUCAACAUAACUUCAUUUUAAAAAAAAAGGAUAUGGACACUAAAACAAUUGUACCAAGUUAGCUAUACAGAAAUAUAUUUUAAAAAAAAAACAGCUUACAGUUUGCUGAUAACCCAAACCACUAAUUCUUUUUUUAAUAAAAAAGGCACAAAAAAAAGAAAGAAAAGAAAACAAAGCUUUAUUGAAGGCCCAAACAUUGCUGACUGCCCAAAAUCUUCCUUUAGCAGUAUACAUUACCUUUUGUCUCCUUUCUUAUCCUCGCCUCUUGAAACUAAAUAACAUUCUGAAAGAAACCUCAUGCACCCCACCGAUUGAGAGCUAUAAUCAACAAAAAAAGCUGAAAACAUGUCGCAGUUAAUAUGCAGCUGUGAGUUCUUCCAAACAAACCCAGACAAAUUUACCAAAAAAAAAAGGAAGAAGAAAUAAAAGUAAAAAGAAAAGAAGGAAACUCUUCGACCUUUCACUACUUAUUUACAUUCAACCGUUUAGUUUU
rnacentral:lncRNA from 1 species